rnacentral:rRNA from 1 species
AGCGAACGUUAGCGGCGGGCCUAACACAUGCAAGUCGAGCGAGAAAAGGGCUUCGGCCCUGAGUAAAGCGGCGGACGGGUGAGUAACACGUAGGUAAUCUUCCCUUGAGCGGGGGACAACGAGCCGAAAGGCUCGCUAAUACCGCAUACGUUUCUCGGGACUCUGGUCCUGGGAAGGAAAGCUAGGCAGCAAUGUCCGGCACUCGAGGAGGAGCACGCGUCGCAUCAGCUAGUGGGGGGGGUAACGGCCUACCAAGGCGAAGACGCGUAGCUGGUCUGAGAGGAUGAUCAGCCACACUGAAACUGAGACACGGUUCAGACUCCUACGGGAGGCAGCAGUGGGGAAUAUUGGACAAUGGGCGCAAGCCUGAUCCAGCCACGCCGCGUGAGUGAUGAAGGCCUUCGGGUCGUAAAGCUCUGUGGGGAGGGACGAACCGCCGGAUGUGCAUAGCAUCCGGCAUGACGGUACCUCCUUAGCAAGCACCGGCUAACUUCGUGCCAGCCGCCGCAGUAAAAC